CCUGGGUAUCUGGGAAAUCCCCCAAAUAUCCAGUCAUUUGAGAAAUUUCCAAAACAUUAAAUCAGAAGUACAUUGGAAAUUUUAUGUCACAUUGCGAUCACAUACCAUCUAUUUGGGAUGUGUUAAGAAUAAAUUCUAAAUUUUAAAAUUAUUUUAAUGAAAUAAAUUGUUUUUUUGAUAACGCAAAAUUCACAAAACUUGCCAAGAAAAUGCGCAAAUCUGAUUUCAAACUCAUUCUUCAAUGAACCCCUGAGCUGAGAAGACGUUCAUAUAAGUGUAAAGAUGGACGAGAGAAAGAAGAUCUACGCCGAUGAUGAAGUCUUAGCCCAGAUUAAGGACAAGAGCAGGAUGGCCUAUGUUAAGUCCUGGAAGGAUUUUAAAAACUUCAAUAUCGAUUUUGAAUUCGAGGAAGGCCACCCUGAAGAGGAGGCUAUUAUUGUCUAUUUUAAACAUCUAAAACUGGAGAAAAAAAUGGCAACUACUACUACAUCAACAGUGUCAUGAAGAGAAAGUACGGCUGGAAGCUUCAGACCCUUCCCAGGAUCACAAUGACGAUGAAGGGGUUUGAGGAAGGUAUUAAGCAUAAGGCCGCCAUAUUUGAAGAGGAGGACCUCAAGAAGUUCUGGAUGAAGAAGCUGGACACAGCCUACUGGGAGGUGAGGCAGGCAAUCUCUAUUACUGCGUAAUUUGGAGACUGAGAUGUUGACAACCCAGCACAUGGGCAAGAACUCUGUGUUCAAGGUGCCCCACGAGAUUGCUGCUCUUCUCAAGCUACCUGACCCUUCUGAGUACACUUUCCAUUCCUUCAGGAGGACCAGUGCCACCAGGGCAGCCGAUGUAUGGGCCACAACAGAGUAGCUGGUAGAUUUCUUUGGUUGGAAAAAUGCGUCCAUGAGUCAGGAGUACAUCUCUUCCAGUAGGCCUGCCAUCUUGGGAAUGGCCAACAGGCUCUGUGUCACUGGUGUAAACAACACCACUAAGCCCGGGAUAGAGGACACUGACAAAAAGGUGUCCAGCAUUGGUGGGAAUGGAGAAACACUCCCAGAAAUUCUCAGCCUGACUCAGUUACUGCAGGAGGACAGCAAUAUCUUUGAUAAGAUGGAGGAGGACGAGGAAUUGUUUCAACAAGCAGGGGUUCCCACCCAUACAAUCUUUAAGGAUAAGGCGGCUAGCCAGCAUGGGAUACUAUAAGAGGCUACAAUCAAGCAGACCAUAUUUGCUUUACCUACUGCUAAUGGGACAAACAUCAAUCUUAAAGUUAUUGUAAUUAAUAACAUGACUGAGCCCGCGAUUUAAAAGCUUCGGCUCGAGUCUUAAUUCCUUAAACGCAGCUUUAAGACCCAAUCUUAGACCCAAC